CAGGUUCCCAGGCUAGGGGUCGAAUCGGAGCUACAGCUGUCGGCCUAUCCCACAGCCGCAGCAACACCAGAUCCAAGCCACAUCUCCGACCUACACUGCAGCGCUACGGCAAUGCCGGAUCCCUGACCCACCGAGCAAGGCCAGGGAUCGAACCCACAUCCUCAUGGAUACUAGUCUGAUUUGUUUUCACUGCACCACAACGGGAACUCCCCAUUCAUCCCUUUCCAGACCAGGCGCCUUCGGAAGCCACGGAGCCAGGAUUUGGACCCUGGCCUGUGUGCGCUACAUUGCCCGUCGGCGAAAAAUCCUUCAAAAGGCUUAGGAAGCAAAGCGGUGGGUUUCAAAUUAAACGUGUGACCCCUGACCUCAGACAGAACUACCUCCUGCCUGUGGAGAUGAACCUGCUGAGAUGCACCUGCAGCAUCCAGCUUCUCCGGGGACCUGCAUCCCGGCUGGUCUGUUCCGGGGUUGGGCGGGGUCCCUUCGUCCCUUUGCCCCGUCCUGACAUCCUGCCCUUCCCACCAGCAGCACAGCGUGGUCCUAACACUCAGCCCAGCAUUCAGGACUUGAUCUGCCUGUUGGGACCCCAGCUCCCGGGCCUUGUCCCUAAAGGCAGAGGAAUUGUCCCGAACCUCAGUGACCUCCACGGGCUGGUGCCGGUGGUGGCUUUGGGACCGGCCAGUCCUUGUGAUCCUGCGAGGCUCUGUCUCCCAUCCACACAGGAGUCUUGUCGGGCUGUUUAGGACACAGGCGAGGCCACCCUCAACCUGCUCAGCAACUUGACUCAUGCUUUUGCAGAUCAGAUGUGUGCCAGUGGACUGUUUUAACCAUUCUGGGCUCCCAUUUCAUCGCUCAUCCGUUGGUUGUGAGAACAGAGGCUUCUUCCCUGGUGUGGGAGCUGCCCUGCAUGCCCAGCAGUGAGUCCGCCUCUCCCCUGUCCACACUGAAAGCUUGCUCGUCAGGGCAGUGACUUGUGUUCUGCAAAAUAACUUCAUUUCUCAAGGACCUGGGCCCACCUCCCUUUGCUGCCAUUCUCUGAGGUCUUGGCGGAGAUUUGGUGUAGAGUUGUUUCCGCUUCCUCCUCCUCCUCUUCCUCCUUCUCCUUUUUCUUCCUCCUUCUUCUUUGACUACUAAGAUAAGGUCUCUUCGAGUAAAAAUUAAAAAGCAAAGCAAGAAAAAUAAAAAGCCAGAGGCCCUGCUCAGCGGCGAGUGGGCUUGUCACGUAUUAAUUUUUCAUUGCUGUGGAGAGUUGUACAUACAUAAUCACUUGAUUGCAGUGGGAGUUAGGGAGCUCCUGUGGUGUCAUUUGCAUAAAUCUUGUUAAGUCAAUGGCAGUUAAUGAAGUACAAAUGAGCCCGGAGAAGGUGACAUGCAAAUCGUGGGUGGCAGAUGGGAGGUCUGUUUGGGGGGACGGCAGCUGUGUGCUCUUUUUUCUUUCUUUCCGCUCCGCAUUUUUUAAUCUCUAUAUUAUGGUCCAGAUACCCAGCCUCAGCCUGGCCUUUCCCUUCCCCGGCCACCCCCUCCCCUGCUGCAGAAAACAGACCCCAGGGCCUCAUCUCACACCUCGCAACAUCUCUCGAGCAUGCUUGCGGUUUUAAAAUCUUGGUCAGUCGAUCUUCUCCUGCUUACACGAUUGAAAAUACCUGUAGGUAUCUUUUAUUUGUGAGAAGGAACAAGAAAACUCUGACGUGUGGUUUGGUGGGAUUUCAGAGAGUGAAAAACAGGGAGUUCCCGUUGAGGCUCAGUGGGUUAAGAAGCCAGCUAUCCUCAUGAGGGCGCGAGUUUGAUUCUUGGCCUCGCUCAGUGGGUUGAGGAUCCAGCGUUGCCGUGAGUUGUGGUGUAGGUCGAAGAGGAGGCUCAGAUCCCAAGUUGCUCUGGCUGUGGCUGUGGCCGGCAGCUGCAGCUCUGACUUGACCCCUAGCCUGGGAACUUCCAUGUGCCACGGGUGCGGCCCU
ensembl:lncRNA